rnacentral:lncRNA from 1 species
UUGGCAGCCUUAAUCUUCAAUCUUUAGCCUCAACUUCUAACUUAUUGAAUCUCUCUUAGGAUUUCUUCUUACAGUUAACUUCUCCUUAAGUUAUCUUUAAAUACCACUAAAUUAACAUAUUCUCCCUACUUAAGCCUAAUUGGCUCUUAAUAUGGGCUUAGAAUAAUUAUAGAACCCAUAAAACCUUAAUCAGCCCACAACCCUUUUCUUUCCCACACUAAUCCUUUAGAUUUUCCUUUUCAAUGUCGCGGCGCUCACUUGGCUUCAAGCCUCCUCUUGCUGCCUAUUGUACUCCAUCAACUUCCAAUGUAUUUUUCUCCAUCUUCAAGGCAAAACUGGGUAAAGUGAUCUUUAUAAAAGUUGUAGCUCUAUUUCUUAAAUUUCUAAUGGUUCAUGAAUCACAUCAUUAGGACAUUUGGAGUGGAGUUAUGCUCAAAAUGCUGCAACAUGUACCAAUAGAGGCAUGGUCCUUUAUUCACCUUUCUUCACCAAUUUGAAGCCUUAUUCCUCAAAAUCCUACAAAAGCAUAAAAACUAAUAAAUAAUAAUGCAACUAAAAUAAAUAAACAUAAAAUAGUAUAAGAUAAAAGAACUUAAUAAAAGCAAACAAAUUAGAAAAAUAACUAAAUUUUAAUCUAAACUCAAGAACUUAGCUAGCUUUUAAUAACAAAAUAAGACAAAAUAACUCUAUAAAAUAGAAUUAUUAGUUACCACUCAAUGCUCCAUCGAUAUUAAACUUAAAAGUACCAUGAAAUGGUGGUUGCCAUGUAACAUUAACUUUCACCAACAGAGGACUAGAAGAGGUGACAACAGCAUUAGGAAACCUUUCAAAGUCCAAAAUCAAUAAGUUUAAGUGUGGCCACUUGGCAUGAGCCCACCAUGCAAUACGCAACUUAAUCAUAUCAAAAGUAUGGUGACAAUCCCAUAUCUUCCCAUUGAAGCAAACAUUGUUACGACUUAACCAUAUAGUCCAUAAAAUGGCCGGGAACACCAUUUUAUAAACAUCUUGAUUGUUAAGAACUUUGGCAACCUCAUUCCAAGUAAGGAAAUUGACCAAAGGGUCCUUAUGCAUGACUCAACUAAACCCCCAAUUGUUGGCCCAUAAGCCCCAUAAAUGCCAAGUUUUAGCACAACAAAAAAAGAUAUGGUUAACAAAUUCAUAAUCUUUUAUACAGAUGAGGCAUUCGGUAACUUCAAUCGGGAUAAAGUCUCUUUUCAAAAGAGUUUCUCUUACAUCAACUUUACCUUUAAGAAUGAGCUAGUAGAACAACUCAACCUUCAAAGGCGUAAGCCUUCUCCACAGAUCUUUCUAUUUGAAAAGUUAGCUUAAUGAAAAUAUCCAAGAGGGGGAGAAUUGGAUUUCAAAAACUUUUGGAAAGUGUUAAAACAAUCAGCUAUAGUUGACUAUCAAGAAACUCUAGUUGACCGUGGUUGUGGUUCUUUUCACAAACCAACUCCAAUGUCUUUCAAACAAAAUUGUGGUAGACUAUGAAGACUCAAAAAUCAAUCUUAGACUAAGAAACUCAUUUUGAAACCUUGUAAGAGGAAUUUCAACAAAAACCUUAAUGUAUAUUUAAGUUUUAGUCAAAGCUACUUAAUCAAACAUAGACAAAUGGUUACUUUGAAAUGAUUAAACAUUGUUCAAAUGUAAAUCAAAUAAAGGCAACUUUCAGAAAAACAUUUCAAGAAAUCUUUUCAACAAGGUAUGGACAAUUUUGUGAUGGUUGAAAAAGAUUUAGAAAAGAACCAACCAAGAUGUGAAAAGUAUGAAUCAAACUACAAGCACUUUAUGAAAUGGGUUCUUUUGAAAUGAAAUAUAGCAAAACAAAACAAUGAUAAAAUGAAAAUACUAGGUAAAAAUCAAAACUUCUUCAAAAUGGAUUUCCUACUUAUGUUAAAAUCAAAGCAAAUGAUUUUUCUAAAAUAGUUUCAACAAUAAAUCACAAUGCAUAAAAGUAAAUCAAGAUAGAAAGGUUUAUAGUAGUUCAGCUUUUCAAGCGCCUAUAUCCACUCCCUUGGUUAACCAAGGAAUUUUUAAUCUACUAAAAUGGAUUCUUGCUUUUUAACAAGAUAAAGCGGUAACCCUCAUAAUAGUUAUUUCACGAGAUCAAGCGAUAACCCAUGAUUUUUAACUAGCUCAACCACCAACCCAUCAAUUUCAAGAGGCUCACCAUAAACCUAUUGUUUUAACAAGUUCACCACAAAUCCAUGGUUUUUAACAAGAUCACCACAAACCCAUACAAUGGCUUCUUCUGGGAUCAACCAUAACCCUUGCACUAACUUUUCAAGGUUAAGUUAGAACCUUGACAAGAAUAACAAUAAUGCCUCUAAAAGAAAGAUUUUUCCAGUGUGGUACAAUGUAGGAAGAAUGCUUAACAUUGGAUAAAAAGAUAGGAUUUAAAGAUAAAAGUGACAGCACAAAGAAAUUUUAGCUCAAAAAGGCUUGAUUUCUCUCAUUUUCUUUCAAGACUCUGAUCCUCAAGAGUUGGGCUUUUUUCUUUUCAUCUUUCUCACUUUUGAAUGCUUCCAAAUGGUCCUUUUUAUAAUUUGAGAGGUCAUAAAGCCAUUGGAGAUUAUUAGGGCAAGAAACUAGUCGUUUUCCUUUUGAAUUUUGUGUCUAACUGUCACUUAUAGUCAACUAUGAAGUUUCUCUAGUCGAUCUUUUCCAAAAAGCUUGUAUUUUUCUGACCAAAGCUUAGAGGGUUGACUGGCACUGUUCCAGGGUUGACUAUAGUUUCAUUAGGAUUGACUAUGCCACUAUUCCAAGGUCGAUUAUAAGCUGUAUGGGUUCGACUAUGGCUGUCUCUUUUUUAAGUUUCUUUCUUCAUUCUUGCCCGUUCUUCCAUAAGAUAGACUUGCCUUGCUUUAGGAUCGAUUGGAGUUUUGUUUCUUCAAGAUUCCUUGACAUUUUAGCAUGUAACGUUGGCCAUAUCUUCCUUGUGAUCAAAUGUUGAGCGAUGACUAAGUUUCUUGACUUGAAGCAAGCUUGGUGUAAUGUAGAUUGAUGACUUCAAAUGCUUUGAGAUAAACUUAACCAUUUAAGAACAUAUCUUGCAACUUUAACUUCUCAAAGGUAAAUGUUAGAGAGAACAUAAAUAAAACUCUUUUAAGCAAAUUUAACACUCAUACAAUUAAGUCAUUCAAGCUUGCAGACAUUUGUAGAACAAGUGUGUGAUAAUUUAAUAGCUUCAAAAAUUCGCACAACUAAAACAAUCAAGCUUGUAAUCAUGUAAGAACAAAUGUAUGAGAGCUAAAUCAUUCAAGGACUUGUCAAGAUUCACUCAAAUAAUAUUCAAGCAAAUUCGGAUCAUUUUAUCACAAUCAAAACUAUAAUCAUUUUAAGGCUAACACCUUCUACUGACUAGUUUCCAAAAAUAUAUUGCAAAAGGAUUUGGUUGUGUAAUAGUCAUUUAAGUUUGUUUCUAGAUCAACUUAUCGUCAAAAUUUUUGCCUAAAACUUGUUAAUUAAGGAGAUGAUGAACAACUUCCCAUUGAUUAAGUUCCCAUCCAAAAAGCCUUCUCCUUAGUUCUAAACGUCAUUACCACACAUUACCAAACCAUUUUCCAUAUUUGUCAAUCAUACCAUUUUAAUGAUGGCUAAGGCGAAGAAUAUUGGGACUAUGGUAUUUAGUACAAUUUCAUCAAUCCAUUGAUCAUGCCAAAAGUUGAUCUUUUGACCAUAACCAUUAAGAGUCCAAAAUUAUCUUUUACAACUUGACUACGGUUGUCAUGAUGGGAAAAACGUUUAGUAACAUUACACUAAAUGUCAAAGACCAUUGUAGAACACCUUUUUGAUGGAAGUAGGUUAUCAUUUUCGCAACCUGUUUUACUCAUAAUAACCUUCCACCAUAAGCUUCCAGACUCAUUACCUAACCUCCAUAUCCACUUAUUGAAGAGGGCACGAUUUUUUAGGUUCAAGUCGCCAACCCCAAGACCUCUAAGUUUCUUAUGAAGGCAAACUGAGUUCUAAUCAACAACAUGCAUUUUUUACUUCCCAUUUAAGCCACCCCAAAGAAACCAUAUUUGAAUUUUGUCAAGUUGUUCUCUAAUACCAACCAAGAUUUAGAAAAGUGAUAUGUAAAAAAUGGGCAGGCUGUCGAACAUAGACUUUAAAAGUGUUAUCCUUCCACCCAUGGAUAAGUACCUAGCUUUCCAUGUCGAGAGUUUGGCUUCAAAUUUAUCAACAACAAGUUGUCAUAUCUUAAGAGAGCUAGAUUUGCCCCCUAACAAAAGCCCCAAACAAGUAGUUGGAAGUUUCCUAAUUGAACAAGCAAUUUUACUAGCCCACUCUUCAACCAACCUUUGCUCCAAUCCAAUUCCAUAGAGGCAGCUUUUGUUGAGGUUGAUCUUAAAACCUGAAAUAGCCUGAAAGAAUCUUAGAUACAUUUGACAUUUAACAAAUUAUCAAGAGAAGAUUUACAAAUGAUUACCAUAUCAUCAACGAAUUGUAAAUGACAAAUAGCAAGCUCAUCUCCUUCGACAGUAACUCUCUUGAUAAUAUGUUCACUUUCUAUCUUUCUCAUCAUGAUGAUAAAAGCCUUUAAAACAAGAUUGAAGAGGAAAGGAGACAACGAGCAGCCUUGUCUCAAUCCUCUACAUAUAUGGAAUUGCUGUGAAAGGGUUUCAUUAACAAGAAUAGAGAUGAGAGCUAUAGUAAUGCAUGCUCGGACCCAAGCUCUCCACCUUUCACCAAACCCCAUAUGUCUCAUGACCAGAUCCAAGAAGCCCCAUUCAAUGCUAAAAAGGCAUUUUCAAAGUCGAUUUUGAAGAAGAGACCCCCAUUCCUUUCUUUCUUAAAGAGGUCAAUUAACUUGUUGGCGAUGAGACUACAAACCAUAAGCAACCUACCCUUAAUGAAGGCGAAUUGAUUUUCUCAAAUAACUUCCUCCAAUACCCCUUUCAUCCGGUUAACAAAUGCCUUAGUGACAAUUUUAUAGAGGCUACUUACCAGACUGAUGGGCCGAUAAUCACCAAUUGAAGAUGGGCAAGCUCGUCUUGGGACCAAGGUAAUAAAAGACGUGUUUAUACACCCAUCUAACAUGGCUAUAUUGUGGAAGUCUUCAACAUAAUGCAUAAUGUCCUCUUUCACAAUGCCCCAUUGUUUUUUUUUUUAAAAAUUGAGAUUAAAGCCAUUUGGCCUCGGGACUUUAUUCCCAUCACAACUUGCUAUUGCUUCCUAUAUUUCCACUUCUGUGAAAAGACUGUCCCAAGAAAUAGCAAAACUUUCAUAAAGUUUCUUGAAAUGCCAAUUGAUAAAUCUCCCUUAGACUUAGUAAUAUGAAAUUAUUUCAACAAAUAUGAUUUGAAAAUAUUAAAAUGUUCAGCUGAACAUAAAUAAAAAUACACAUAAAUGUUGAAACAAAGAUAAGUAAAGAAAUAAUAAAAUUGUUUAAAGCGACAAUUAGAAAUAUUAAAAAGUUUCGAUGAGGAAACAUCUUUCAAAGAAAAUAAGUAAACAUUUUCAUCACUAUCAAACGAAUAGAAUUAUUAUUAAUCUUUCAAAGAUGAAAAGAUCUCUCUCACCCAAGAAGAAAGAAAGAUGACAUAUACAAUUUUUUAUCGUUCAACCCCCUUACUUGGCCUACCCAUGUGCAUGUCAUUUUUCUACCACCUUGGCCUUCUCCAGGCACCCCUGGACUUCCCCACUUGUUUUUCUUGCUUUGCUAUAUAUAUAUAUAUAUAUAUUAUUAUAUAUUAUAUAUAUAUAUAUAUAUAUAUAUAUAUAUAUAUCCUUUCUUUUUCGUUUUUUUAAUUGCGCAUAUGCCUGUUCCUUUCCCUUUAUCUUUAUCGACAAGUACUUAUCCUUCAAUGUGCUGUUUUGUAUGUUAUUAUUUUUAUGGGCAUACAAUGUAUGUGUAUAGUAUUUAUUAAGGAUUACUAUUAUGAAAUCUUUGUGAUAAUAAUGGGCAUGGUCUUAAUGAUAAGAAUACAUCAUGAAUUCAUAUGGAUGAUAAAACUAUACAAGUAAAACAGGCGCGACAGCACCAGCGAGUGGGGGGGUGGGAAUUGGGAAAGGAGUGGCCUUCGAUUGGUGACUAUGGUGUUGGUGGUAGGUUUCAACCCCCUAGAAAGCAUGUACUAAGGCAGCAUGGCAAACAGAAAAAGGAGUCCACACUUAAGAAACAAAAGCCCAAACCAAGAACUUGGGAUUAAAAAAGAAACAGAAGCCCAAAGAAACGAAAGUACGAAACAGAAAGCCCAAAAAGUUAGACCACCAAAACAGCCUAAAGUAUCCAUGGAAUAGAGUCUGUAUUAAGAUGUAAGAGGCCCAACUCAGCUAUAAUUAGGAGAAAAAAUUAAAUAAAUCUAUAAUUAUACCUUUUAUUAUUUUUAAUAUUCAUUUCGAUGUUUUAGAUACUUUUAAAUUUUAAUUACCUUCAUGAAGAAAAUAAUAUAUAUAUUUAUAAAAGCUUUACUUAUAGAAAUACAUCAUGAUUAAUUUCCAGUUGACUUAAUAUUGGACUCCUUUGUGACUUUUUAUGGGUAAUUUUGACAUUUUUAGAGAAAUAAAUUGAGGUAUGAUGAGUAGCUUUGAUAUUUUAAGAGGAUUAAUUAAGGUAUGAUCGUUUUCCAUUUUAAUGUAAUUUCAAUUUUCUAUAUGGUUUUAUUAUGCUUCCAGGUACAAAUUUUGACAAUUUUGUACAUAAUAUGAAUUUAAAUAAGUUUGGGUUUAGGUUAAUCAUGUUUUUUGUUUUAAUCGUGUCGAUACAAUUUAGAUACCAAUAAAUCGUAUUUUAACCGUAUCAAAUCCACUUAAUUUGUUUAAGAUCUGUCUAAGACACGAUUAAUUAAUCAUGUUAUUUUAUAACCAUAUAACCUCUAACCUAUUUAUUAUUUAUUUAUUUAAUGGUGUUCACUUGUCGAGUAGACAUAUUUAAUGUGCAGUUAAGACCUAUUUAAUUAUCCAUAUAAGAACAAAUAUUUUUUUGAUGAUCAAGAUGUAUUGAUGUCGAAUUUUGUUAUAUUUGAUAAAUAUUAUGAUUCUUAUAAUUUUUUAUUAUAAAUUUGAAUUAUAAAAUUAUAUUUUAAUUAUAUAUAUAUGAAUUUAAUCGUGUUAAUAGUGUAAAUAAGUAAAUAAGUUAUAAAUCUAUAAAUUUUAAUAAUGUGAACAAAUCGUAUUACACCAUUUAAAAUUUAACUCAACACGUUUAAUGAACAUAUUAACUAUAUAAUGUUGUGUUACAUGUUUAUUAAACUUAUCCAUGUAUGUGUUUAAAAUUCUAACACGAUUAGUUAAUCGUGUCAUAUUCAUAUUUAUUCAUAUAAAUGUUAAUAUCUUAUAUUUAUACGAUAUGAUAAUGCUAGUUAAAUUUUUAUCUAGACAAGUAUACAUAUCAAAUAGAUAUUAUAUAAGCAAGCAGAUUAUCGAUCUCAUAGAGAAUUGAUAUAAAAUUUUACUAAAUACUAAAAUUAGAACAAUCUAACUUAUCCAAACAAUCAAUAUCAAAUAACUAAAUUAAUUAACUGAAAAUAAUUAACCAAAAUUUAAACUAAAAAUAAUAAAUCAAAGUAAUAAUAACUUGGGUAAAAAUCAAAUUAAGAAAGCCUAAGAUUACAAUAUCCCUCACACUUCAUCUAAAUCUUACAUUUCUUCCUUAACUUAUUUCAAUGGGUUGAAUUACUAACCUAGAGUCCUCAAUUAUUUAUUAAAGGUCUCCCAAAUUUUGUUAUAAAAAUAUCUAUUUUGAUUAAAACACGGUAUCCCUAUGUGAAUUAAGAUUAAAACAAACUCAUUAAGUUCAGGCUCUAAUUUGGUUACAUAUGAUUUAUAGAUAUAUCUCUAUCUUAUACGCAAAUCAAUUAAUAAGAUCAUAUGUGUCACGACCCAAAUUUCAGGCCAUGACCGACAGCCCAAUGGACGUAGUCCACUAAGCCCAAGCAAACCUAUUAAUAUGACCCGUUCAUCAUUCCAUCAAAGGUUGCUAAGUCACAUUUCAUAACUUCGAAUCAAAUUAAUACUAAGCAUUGCCAACUUGUAGUGGCCUUACCAAUCAAGUAUACAUGUAUUGUCUAAAAUAUAUGUCUAAAUAAUUUACAUCAGGUUUAUCUAUACAUAUCAAAAAGGAGACUCGAUUUCCAGCGGAGAGACCCAAGUGACAUACGACUAUUGAAUGCCGAGAUACCUACCAAGGAAACAAAUCUACAAGGGCACCUCGACCUAGUUACUGACUGCCUCUUAAUCUAAAAACAUGAGUUGAAAACGGUGAGUAUAAACCCGGUGAGUGAACAUAAGAAGGGAACAAGCAAUCAAUAGGAAGAAUUUGGAAAUCAUGAUGCACUUGUUUCAAAAACAAUGCAAUUGAUUUAGUUUCUUACCAAAAACCCCUCAUUUCAAACUCUGAUUAAUAACCUCAUAGUGUUGCAAAAACCCAUAAUCAAUCCAUGAAGUUAAAUGGGUGAAAAGUAUGUCAAAAUCAAGCAAGAUAGCAAGCAUGGCAGCAAGUUUCUCGCUGUAGCGAAGUUCAUUCUCGCUGCAGCGAGAUUCGGGAGGCUAAAACAGAAAGUUUCUCGCUGCAGUGAGAAAAUAGUGUCAAUUUGCAUAUGUUUUGGUUUUUCUAUCAUUUCUCCCACUAAAGAAGUCCAAUUGACCUGAUUUUUAGACCAUUAGAAAACUAAGAGGCAGGGCUACAACUUUUGUGUUUACCACUUUUCCCAUUUCGGACAGGAAUGUAGUCAAAAUCUUUAUUGAAGUGAAAGAACUGCACCAAAACUCGAGAAUUUCUUGCUACAACGAGUUGUUGGUUGCCAAAACAGAAUGUUUCUUGCUGCAGCGAGAAGCAGGGCACCUAGGUGUUAAAAGGACCUCCUUUGCACUAAAAAUUCAUUUGGUGUUGCAAUAAAAAUCAAUUUGCAAGAAAAUGGGAAAUUUUUAAGAUUCAUCAUGCCAAAUUUCACAUGCAUUACAUCCAUAAACCAUAUUCAUGAGCUUUCUAUAACACACACAUUUACAUAUACAUACAUCGUCAUCAUGUGUGCACUCCCUACUCGCACACUCAACAUCAUCACCCAACAUCAUUCAUCAAUACACAACACAUAUUCAUAAGAUAUAUACAUACAUACCAACAUAAUAUAAAGCAUAUGGAUUCAUCCUUAUACACAUCUCACAAUAUCAAAAACAUUUAAUCAAGGCUUGUUCCCUAGCGCACAUUUUAAAAGAAAAGUUGGAUAAAAUCAUUCAAAUAUCUUGUGCAAAUACAUUCAUAUUCCCAAAACAAGUUUGAAAUGCAAGUCCACUCACCGGUAUUUCGUUG